AAUAUUGCACAAUGGAGGAAACUCUGAUGCAGCGACGCCGCGUGAACGAUGAAGGNUUNNGGGUCNUNAAGUUCUGUCCUAGGNNNNNAUAAUGACGGUACCCUAGGAGGAAGCCCCGGCUAACUACGUGCCAGCAGCCGCGGUAAUACGUAGGGGGCGAGCGUUGUCCGGAAUUAUUGGGCGUAAAGGGUUCGCAGGCGGUCUUUUAAGUCAGAUGUGAAAGAUCACGGCUCAACCGUGGUAAGCAUUUGAAACUGGGGGACUUGAGUUAAGGAGAGGAAAGUGGAAUUCCUAGUGUAGCGGUGAAAUGCGUAGAUAUUAGGAGGAAUACCAGUGGCGAAGGCGACUUUCUGGACUUAUACCGACGCUCAGACACGAAAGCGUGGGGAGCAAACAG
rnacentral:rRNA from 1 species